rnacentral:misc_RNA from 1 species
GCCCCAUCUUAAUUCAAAGAAAUAAGGAGGAAAGAUCCUUUUGCCUUUUAAUGCUCUCUCUCUCUCCUUUUUCUUUUCUGUAAAUCGUGCUCUCUUUUCUUUUCCCUUUCUCUGUCACUCAGCUCACUCUAUAUUCGCUGAAGUGGGUAAAGGAGAAAGGGAGCAGAUAUGAAGCAGCAGAAGCGUGAUAUGGUGAAGAUGAAGAAAUGCCCCCACUUCUGAUAAUGGCUCAACAAAGCAAAGCUUACAAUGCCAACACUACUCUUAAUAUUAGCGCCGGUAUCAGUCUUCUUAACUCUACUAACACCCAGCACCAUCACCACCAAGUCAAGGCAAUGUUUCAUGACUUCCUGGGCAUGAAGCCGGCUACCACCGAUGCCCCUAAGAACGCUGAUGCGUCUCCCUCUGCUUCUAUCUCUGCUGGGGCUGCCUCUUCUGGUGGUGCCCGUGGUCCUCUUUCCACCGCCUCUGAUCUUGCCUCUGAAAGGCAGGCUGGAAAUCAUCUAGAAGGGAUUCCAUUUUAUGGUCCAAGGAGUGAUAUCUCUGGUC